UACGAAGGGGGCUAGCGUUGCUCGGAAUGACUGGGCGUAAAGGGCGCGUAGGCGGCAUAACUCGUCAGACGUGAAAUUCCUGGGCUUAACCUGGGGGCUGCGUUUGAUACGGUUGGGCUAGAGGAUGGAAGAGGCUCGUGGAAUUCCCAGUGUAGAGGUGAAAUUCGUAGAUAUUGGGAAGAACACCGGUGGCGAAGGCGGCGAGCUGGUCCAUUACUGACGCUGAGGCGCGAAAGCGUGGGGAGCAAACAGGAUUAGAUACCCUGGUAGUCCACGCUGUAAACGAUGUGCGCUGGAUGUUGGGUGACUUAGUCACUCAGUGUCGUAGCUAACGCGAUAAGCGCACCGCCUGGGGAGUACGGCCGCAAGGUUG
rnacentral:rRNA from 1 species